GUCCGGAUUUCUUAAUUUUGUUCCUCAUUCCUUUUGCUAAUCCCUUGUGGCAUAGAACACUUGACCUGUCCACUGUGACUGGCAUGGAUUUGGCUUUCACUGGUAGCCUGGUAACAUAUAAGUCAGUAUUAUAAAACACUUUCAGUUCUCACAUCAGCUAUUUCUAAAGGUCAAAGAGAGGGGUAGUCAGGUUCUAAUGAGUGUUUCUUUAGGUUCAUGGUUCAGAAGAAGGGUCAAACUACCACCAGGGCCAUAAAACUACUACUGGAAAUGCCCACAACUCCUAUGAAAGCCUUGUCAAAUAGAGCCUGUUAGGUUUGUGGUACAGAAGAAGGGUCAGACUACCACCAGGGCCAUAAAACUACUACUGAAAAUGCCCACAACUCCUACGAAAGCCUUGUCAAAUAGAGCCUGUUAGGUUUGCGGUCCAGAAGAAGGGUCAAACUACCACCAGGAACUCCUAUGAAAGCCUUGUCAAAUAUGUGUUCUUGGGCAAUGAAAUGUCUAAUAAUACAACCCAUAGUCCCAGGUCUUUCUCUGUCUCUGUGGUGGAUAGUGGAGCAUUUCCCAUGUGGUAUUGGUGUGCUGGAUAUCUCCUCCCAAGGUGCAGGACUUUACAUUUUUCUUCACUGCAUUGUAGCAGCCACUUUUUGUUUCAUUCCUGUAGCUUGGUGAGGUCUUCUGGUAGGAAAUCCAGUCAAGGGGUUAAUAGACUUGAUAUCACUGUUCAUUUCUGUACAUGUAUAGAGCUAUGAUGCCCUGUUUUUUCUCUAAUAAUUUCCUUGGGCUCAUCCUUUGUAUAUUCAGGUAUCUUCAGUAAAUAUUAUUAUUAUCAUUAUUAUUUUUACAGUAAAGGAAUCACCUCAAAGGCAAAAAAUAUUGAGAUAAAAAGAAAUCCUUCUAAUCACUGUGCCUUUGGAAAAGUUAAAAAGAAGAAAUGUCUGGAUAAGCUCCUCUAAUAUUAAUAAUUCUCCUCCUGCAUGUGUCUCUAGUGUAAAGGAAUCACAUCACAGGCAAAAAAAAGAAAGAAAAAAAAAUGAGUAAAAAAAAUCCUGCUAAUCCCUUCUAUGAAAAAGAGUUAAGAGGAAGAAACGUCUUGAAAACCUCCUCUAAUAUUAAUCAUUCUCCUCCUGCAUGUGUCUCUAGUGUAAAGAAAUCACAUCACAGGCAAAAAAAAGAAAAAAAAGAAAAAUGAGUAAAAAAAAAUCCUGCUAAUCCCUUCUAUGAAAAAGAGUUAAGAGGAAGAAACGUCUGGAAAACCUCCUCUAAUAUGAAUCAUUCUCCUCCUGCAUGUGUCUCUAGUGUAAAGGAAUCACAUCACAGGCAAAAAAAAAGAAAAA